GUGUCAGCAGCCGCGGUAACACGUAGGAUCCAAGCGUUAUCCGAAUUCACUGGGCGUAAAGCGCAUGCAGGCGGUUCAAUAAGUUGGAUGUGAAAUCUCCUGGCUCAACUGGGAGAGGGCGUUCAAUACUGUUGGACUAGAGUACGGUAGAGGGAGGUGGAAUUCCCGGUGUAGUAGUGAAAUGCGUAGAUAUCGGGAGGAACACCAGAGGCGAAGGCGACCUCCUGGACCGUUACUGACGCUCAGAUGCGAAAGCUAGGGGAGCGAACGGGAUUAGAAACCCGUGUAGUCC
rnacentral:rRNA from 1 species